UAAGUCAGCCACGAAUAGGCUAUCCCAACUAACGGCGGGAAAGACUCCACGGAGGGUGUAAGACCCGUGUGGGCGCGUGUCAAAGCUGUGCGGGCUCGGCCUCUAUUCCCUGAGAGUCGCGUUGCUUGAGCAUGCAGCGCUAAGCAGGUCGUAAACUCGAUCUAAGGCUAAAUAUCUCCACAGAACCGAUAGCGAACAAGUACCGUGAGGGAAAGUUGAAAAGCACUCUGGAGAGAGAGUCAAAAGACCGUGAAACCGCUCAGAGUAUAAGCCCAUGGCAGCUUGGAAGGCAUAUCGCUAGCGGGGCAUCGGUCUUCCUUCGCGGGGAGCUGGUGUUACCUUGCUUUUGUUGUGGCUCGUCAUGGUAGGGGGGUCAAGUCCACAUCCCGCCGUCGUGUGGGGGGUUCUUGGGUGUGUUGUGGUUUCUCGGUUGGCUUCGGCUGGUCGGGGGGCCCUUCGUGCUUGGUUCCUCUUUGGACACGGACGUUCAGACUCAUUGGCAAGACGCGAUAAACAGCCCACCACGGCACGUUGUGAGGUCACCCACAGGCUCGACUUUCGAUCGUGAGCCUUGACGCAGAGCAAGCACAAUGCGUGUCGCUGAGGUUCCUAACCAGGCAUAGGUGCCAGGAUCGUGGAACGACACGCGCUCAACAGUCAGGUUCGGGCGGAGACAGAGUUCUGGUACGAUCCUCUUGCGACGAGCCGGCUUCUGGCCGACAUCCGAUGCUCAGGUCUCCCGCAUGUGCCGCGGGAGAUCGCCUUGACGGUCUGGA
rnacentral:rRNA from 1 species